rnacentral:lncRNA from 1 species
CUUUGGGGACCAGCUCUCGGGAAGAAAGGACUGCAGGAUGGAGGAGGGUUUUGACUUGCCCUGGUGUGUGUGUGUAAACUGGGAUCCGGAGUUUGACAGCAGAGGAGAGACUUCUGGUGUGAAGAGCAGAGCGAUCCUGGUCCCCUAGGGAGUACACUUGAUAAGCAAGAGACCAGGUACAGAUUCUUUCAGAUCUUACAGUUCUCAAAGAGCAAGCAAAUGUCCUCUUUCCAAGCCUCACAUUUAGACUGACUGCUGGCAGAUAGAAAACUUCUUGAAGGAGGCCUCGGCUUUGAAGGUUUGUUGUAAGACCGUAACACCUAACUCAGGGGUGGAAGUGGGUGCUCUGCCUUAGCCUUCCCAUGGUUACACCAAGAGGAUCUGGACGACCACUGCUCCUGAGAGGCCAAUGUUUCUACUUCGUGGCUUUAACCAGUGUGCUCUGGCUGCCAUCUGCACAGACCCGAGAGUCUUUUCUUCCACAGAGGUUUCACCUUCAACUGCCUACAGCAUUUGGUCUCUUCUGGAGGAAUUUAAGAGGGCCGUACCAGCAGCACAUCAAGGAUCCCAGCCUAGGGGUCUAAAAGGAGCUACAGCUGCCGGCCUACUCCACAGCCACAGCAGCGCAGGAUCCAAGCCGAGUCUGCGACGUACACCACAUCUCACGGCAACUAAAGAUCCUUAAUCCACAUAGCGAGGCCAGGGAUCGAACUCUCGACCUCAUGGUUCCUAGUCAGAUUCGUUUCCACUUCACCACAAUGGGAACUCCAAGGAUCCUAAACUUCGUGAAGGCAGAAUGCUCGCUUAACUCAUUUCUGUAUUCGUCCCACAAAUUUUAUUGAGCUUUGUAAGUGCACAAAAAGGAGUUGUUAACAAAUAAAUGAUGAGCAGAGUGAAUUCACCUAGACCUAAGGAGAUGGGGCUUCCAUGAGGGCAGGGAUGAGGUGCUCUAUCUCCAUUAAUCUGAGGUGAGGAUGUGGGCAGGGAAUCCCCAUCAGCUGCAGAGAUGGCUGCAAAGUGGUGAGAAUGGGCUGACAGACCAAACGUUGCAAGUUCUGUAGAGGACUGUCACCAACCUUUGGAGAUUCCAGCUUUAGAUAAUUUUUUCUCAUGAUAUUCAUCAAAUAUUCAUUAUUGGGAGUAGAAAAUUUCCCAGUCUCUGGGGCCAUCUUUUUAUGUACUAAGAGCCCUGUUUCUGAAUGGAACUCUCUCACCUCUGGCCCCACCCUAUUAUUAAGGGUUGGCUAGAAUCCAUGUGUCCUUUGGACUAGGAAGCUGCAUAACCGAUGGUAAAUGCCUCCCCCUUUUGUCACCCCAGCAGUUCCAGGCUGAGUCAUUUUCUAAAUAAGCCACUUGUGGUUUUUGGUCUGACAUCACAUGUGGAAGACUGAGUAAUUUUUUAAGAACCAGAAUUAAAGUCGAUCAGAAUAAGAUACAUUGUGUACGUUACUCAUGGUUCUAGGACAAGGGGUCAACGCUGGUAACAAGUACCCUAAGCUUCUCCUACCCCUCCUUUCCCUGGGGCUGAGGGACAGGGAGAAGGCCAAGGAAGGAGGUGGGGAUGGAUAUGAAGAAUUUUUGUGUGCAUCUCUAAUUUUGUUAAUACAUUAUGUACAGUAAAAUUAUAUCUUGUUGCCACUUCCAGAUUAAAUAAAAGUAAUAUAGCAAAGUAGGUAAGGCCUGGGGGCUCUGCUGCUUGGGUUCAAAUCCCAGCUUCACCACAUACCAGUUGGGCAAGUUACUGAUUCUUGAUUCGCCUGCAUUUCCUCAUUUAUAAAAUAAUAGUAUCUAUGAUGUAGGGUUGUUGUCAGGAAUAAAUGAAUUGAUAUAUGUUGAGUGCUUAGAAUUGUCUGGAACUUAGUAAGCACUAUGGAAAUAUGACUAAAUAUUUCUGUGAGUCCACCACAACGUUUAUGCUCAUAUUAAAUGUUCAAUAAAUGGUUCUUGAU